rnacentral:lncRNA from 1 species
GUGGUGCCAAAGCUGAAGAAGGCAGCUCCUGCCCCUCCCAAAGCUCAGGCCGAAGCGAAGCCUUUGAAAGCCGAAAAGGCAGUACUCAAAGAUAUCCACAGCCACACAGAAAAAGAUAUGCACAUCACCUACCUUCCAGUGGCCCAAGACACUAUGGCUUGGGAGGAACCCUAAAUAUCCUUGGAAGAGUGCCCCCAGGAGAAACAAGCUUGACCACUAUGCCAUUACCAAGUCCCCCUGACCACUGAAUUAGCUAUGAAGAAGAAAGAAGACAACACACUUGUGUUCAUUAUGAAUGAUAAAGCCAACAAGCACCAGAUCAAACAAGCUGUGAAGAAGUUCUAUGACAUUAAUGUAGCCAAGGUCAACAUGCUAAUCAGCCUGAGGGAGAGAAGGCUUCUGUUCAACUGGUUCCUUACAAUGCUUUGAAUGUUGUGAACAAAAUUGGGAUCA